rnacentral:rRNA from 1 species
CCUACGGGUGGCUGCAGUGGGGAAUAUUGCACAAUGGGGGAAACCCUGAUGCAGCGACGCCGCGUGAGUGAAGAAGUAAUUCGGUAUGUAAAGCUCUAGCAGCAGGGAAGAAAAGGACGGUACCUGAGUAAGAAGCCCCGGCUAACGACGUGCCAGCAGCCGCGGUAAGACGUAGGGGGCAAGCGUUAUCCGGAUUUACUGGGUGUAAAGGGAGCGUAGACGGCAGUGCAAGUCAGGAGUGAAAGGCGGGGGCUCCCCCCCCGGACUGCUCUGGAAACGGUACGGCUGGAGUGCAGGAGAGGUCAGUGGACUUCCUCGUGUAGCGGUGCAAUGCGUAGAUAUUAGGCG